rnacentral:misc_RNA from 1 species
UCGACUUCUUUCAUUCGUUAUUCGCUGUGUUUCGUUUCGCUUCGUAAGCAUUCUGAUUCUUUGGAGCGCAAAAAAAUUGUUUUUCCCUUGGAGUCUAAAGACAGACAUUGCAACGUUCAACGUUAUUUCCAUGUCAAAAAUGGAUUUUGUGACUUUUUGUGUAACUGUUGAGCGAGUAAGAUGAAGUGAACCCUUUUUAGGCUGUGACCUUUUUAACAUCCUCGAAAGUGUUUGUGUCAAUCAGGAUCAUAAAAGAAUAACAGUAGUCGGGAUAAAAAACUGGCUACCUAUUUUACUGUGAGAUGCCAUAAAAUUUACAAUGGGUCCGAAAGGAGCACCGCCAUAAAACUAUAAAACCCCGCGUUCGCUUAGCCCUUCAUAAAACUAUUAGCGAUUCAUGACAUCUGUACAUAAAAAGUGUACAGCCGAGGAUGGUGCAACGAGUGGGUUUCGGAGUGAGGGUGUCGAGCUAUGAUCGCGGAGAAAGCGAUGCGUGGUGUCGAGCAGGACCCGCCUGUGCUGUCGGAUCGCGUCUUGCACUCAGCUAGUGAGCAGCUGGCGCAUGUUGAGUGUAAUGUGUGUGAGCGAUGUCCGGCAAGCCCGCGAGUGUGGCCGCGACGCGAGCGGGCGCGCCGCGCGUGCUGGUGUACGUGGCGGACCCGCGCCAGCUAGAGCCCGGCGCCGCGGGUUCCGAGGCGCCGCCGCCGCCGCCUCCGCCCGUGCCGCUCAGCGCAGCACCCGUGCAGCCGCUGGACGCACUCUUCUUGCACGAUAACUCGACACAACACCUGUCCCUCCCUAGAAACACUGUCUACCGAACACAAAUUGAACAAAAUGAUCAAAGGAACUUACCUAAUACCAUUUUUUACAAGUCCUUUAAUGAUAACGACAGUAAACUUGGUGCAUUUGGCCCUACGGAUAACACUGUAGUGCAAAGAAGUGAGUUUUUUCCAGUUUCACAACAAUUUCUCAAAGAAACUACAAUAAAGAUUGAAGAAAAUAAAGUGAAUGAUCGGCUGGCUAAUGUUAAAAGAGAUUGUUCUAAUCAGUUUGGCACUGAAUAUGGUAAUAUAGAGACCUAUAGAAUCCCUACGGAUACAGGAGACCCAUCAACAUAUCAAGCGAGAUGUAACGGUCCUGUAUCUGAUAAUAUUAUGCCAUCAAUGCAAUCCAUUACUCUCCAGCAAGGUCAAAAUCAAUUUGAAAGUUGUACAGUGCAGAGUGAAGGAACUAGCUGUAGUGAGAAAGAUUUAUCAGUAGGGAAAAGUUACGUGAACUAUCAGUUUUUAGAACAAAGUGUGUCACAUCAGUCUAUAGUGAAUCAGAGUAUCAGUAUACUGAAUCAGCAAGUUGGAGUGAGUCGGGGGGUAGUGAGUGAAGGAGACAAUGGCAGUGGGCCGCAGUUAGUACGCACAGCUGAUGGUGUGGUGCUGGCCGUGCUGCCUUCUUCUGUGCUGCCUCAUUCAGCAGAGGCUCCAGACCUUGCUUCUAGAACUGCACAGAGUGAUUCUCCACAGACUAUAAUAGUGCCCCUAGGUUGGAGAAGAAUUGUGAGCGGAUCUUCAGUUCUUUAUGUUAGCCCUAGUGGUACGGCGCUAAGCACUUUGCCACAACUGAGGGAGUACCUGCAGACGGCGGGGACGUGUAAAUGUGGGCUGCCUUGCCCCCUGCGACCGGAGAUCACUUUCAACUUUGAUCCUAAGGUGGUGAGCAAGCCCUACCAGGCAGCGUCGGGCGCGGAGUUGACGAAGCUGUGCAACCACAAGCGGAAACUACUUGCUAAUCUGCAGGCGCGCGCGCACUCACCUGCCACGCCGCCGCCGCUUGAUCAAAAGAAAGCACCCGGCACUGAAGUAGGAAUGCUAAAGAAGAAAAUGAAGAAAAGGCCCGGUUUCCCGCCAAACAUGAGCGUUUCUCAGCUGAUGGUCCAGAGGGAACGACCUCUCAACGAUUUCAAGCCGCAGGACGGUGAACACAAUCGCACUAUGUCUCCAGGCGUGAGUGUGCGACCUAAUAACCAGAACUGUCUGCCUAACUUCGCUCCCGGACAACACAUGUCCAAUACGAUGACGCAAGACAAUGAAGUCAAACAAGAAACCCACAUACAGAGGACCUCCCACUACCUCACCGUUAAUAGCGGUUGGAUUACACAACAAGAAAAUUUAGAUGCUAUUCAAAAAGCCAACCAGAAUGCUGCUGGCUCUCCUAAUACACUCAAUGUUGGCAUGCCAGUGUUAGGAACAAAUGGACAAAUCAUCGGAGUUAAUACCGGUUUUAACAAACAAAACAACUUUAAGAAUACAAUGAAUAUUCACGGGCAUUCCAUGCCAUCUCAUCUGGAGCAUGAAAUGAAAGAUGAUAAGAAGGAAAUGUCUAAUCAACAAAACAUGCUAUCUUUAAAGCAACCCAACAAAGAAGAAGAAUCUCAAAUAUUCUGUGGUCUUAACCAACCGUUGACUCCAGAAGUAAUGCAGAAGAUAAAUGAACAGCAACAAAUAUUUAUUCAACAAAAUCAGAAGCAGAUAGAAAUGGCGAUGAAAGGUUUUAGAACACAACUGGCAGAAAACAUCAAUCAAAAUAAGCCACUGACCCAAAAUCAGUAUUUACCUCAGGCUCAGUUAGUGAUUCAGAAUGGCACCGUAGUCAAAACUAAUCCUGCCAAAACACCUCCGUGGCAAGUGAAGAGAAACGAACCUAACACUAACUCAUUGACGAGCCCUAGUCCUAAACCUCAAAAGAUAGAUAACAUGGAUUUCGAAGAUUCUAACACACAUAAUCAUAAUAUGUCUGAAGAUUCGCCGGGAUCCUACAGUCCCUUCCCGAAUAACGAGCAAUCGAUGAAUCAAUCGAUGUGCUCUCGGGUGCCGCCGCUACCUCAGCACUAUAAUAUGUUAUCUCAACAGUGGCCCAACGUAGAUAUGAACAAGAAAAAAGUAAAAGCCAACAACAAGGGAGGUAGAAAGAAAGCUAGUCCUACUGAAAAUAAGCUUGUGACAUUUGGAAAUCAUGGUGUGCGUAUGUUACAAGACUCAAAAUGCGAUGAUAUGCCCAAUAAUAAUGUCCCUUCGUUCAUGGACGAUCCUAGCGGGUACUUAGCACAACAAACAGUUUUGUUGAACAACACAAUUUCUAAGCAAGUCGGUAUUAAUUCGUCAUUUGAUGGCAACCAAUAUGAGAACUCUAAUAAUUGCUUCGUCCAACAGAAUCAAGGCGAUCGAUCUUGUAAACAGAUGACAAAGUCCUGUGAAAUUCCUAACGUAUACAGAAAUAAUAUGGUGCCAAAUCCAUCGCCAUCUCCUAACAACACUCCCGAUAGUAGUGUGUUGUCUGAUAAGACUGCAGAACCGUGCUGCAAAGGCUGUAAUGUUUCAAUGAAAGGCAACUCAGAUUUCCCAGAUAACCAGAUGCGGCUGAAGUACAUGAAACCAAACGUGUACAAGUUAGAGUUAGACGGCAGUGCGACGUCUAGUCCGAGACAUGGGUUCGAAGAUAACCCGGUGACGUCGUCGACGUUUAUUGAUAGAAGUCCGAUGAUGAACGAGAGCUGCGGCCCCAUACAAGCGGGGACAGUGAGCACCAGCAACGUGUCGCCCCCGGAGACGCUGCAACCGCCAGAGCCAUCGCCCACGCUGUCCAACAGUUCGCGCAACACCGACACGCCUCACAGCAGCGGCAGCAACAGUUCACAACUCCCACCAAACUGUACAUUCCCUAUGCCUAGUCCAGCGUACUCCAACCCAGGCUCUUGUAAAGAUAAUUUCAACAGCAACCCAUCGACGCCAGGCAGUAAUCAACCAUAUCCUUAUAAUUCGCCAGGACCGCCUAAUAGUCAGAUCACCGGGACCCAGAUGAUGCAUUUCAUAUCAAAUCAUAACGUAAAUAAAAAUCUCAUGGAAGUGGACAACAUAUCAAUGGUCGGAGUAAAGCCAGUCUUAAAGACUCCAAAUGAUCUUUAUAGAUGCGACAAUAGGAAGAAGAUUGAAAAUUCUAUGCCGGGUUAUUGUCCGCCGCCGCAUUUGGGCGGUGGGCCCGCACAUUCACUGAUACAAGCGUGUUACGUGCAAACAUUCGUGACGACAAUGGCAAGCGGUUUCUCAGUCACCCGUGAUACGGUUACAUCAGUAUUAGCAGGCAAAGCUAACACUUGUACGACGUCGAUCAACGCUUCGCAAGCCAACUUUAUAAGACCACCACCUCCACCGAGUGUUAAUUUAGCCACAACUUAUGCCAUUCCAACAAAUCAACCGGAUCCUUUUAUAAAUUCUGUCAAUCUGCCUACUAGUUAUCCUCUGCACAUCGCUGGCCCUACAGCGCAGAAUAUGAUAUCAAAAUCUCCUCUAGAAAUUGCACAAAAUAUAAUUGGCAGCAUGCCUUCCAAGCCGGACUCGCACAAUACACAAACGAAUACAAUGCCUGCAAGGAGACAGCCGACAACACCUGGGCAGAUCCUUAUAUCUUCUACCGGUCAGAUUAUUGUGUCGAACAAUCAGAUGCCGCCGCCGCCGCCGAAAACUACAACUGCCAUGUCGCCAAUGCAAGGAUCGAAUGUUGGCACCCACGUUACUACAUCAGUUACACAAGUGAUGCCUGCAGUUGGUGGUGUUCAGCCAAUGGUGAAUCAAUCCACGGUUGUCGUCAACGCAUUGCCGGCGCCGUUUGUAAUCCAACCACCAAUGAUGGCCGUGGAUGGACAAGUUGUACAACAAAACACAAUCCUACCACAAAUAGUGACGGGCGUAGUAUCGGGUCAGUCACCUAACGACACUACCCACAGGCAGAUAGACGUGAAAAACAGCCAAAGCUUUGUCCAGGGUGUGGCAAUGCUGUCGCCCGAAAGCUUGAAGAAGAGAAGCAAGAAGAAGAAGGGUCAGACUGCUAAUAUUACCAACGUCCUUCAAAUCACUGCACCUCAACAGAACCCUAACAAUAUAAUGGUGCAUUCAUCACCACAAAAUAAUUCUAGUCCGCAAUUCUCACCGCGUGGAUUCCAGUUGUCUCCGAACAAUAACAUUUCACCGACGCCGAUGCUUCAGGCACUAACAAUCGUACCCGGUAAAUCUGGCACCCCGGCGCAUAUCGUUAUGAAUGGACAAGGAAACACGAACAACUUUGGAUCUCAACAGAUAAUCACAAAUACGUCACCAUCACAACAAAUAAAUUUGCUUCAACCGGUCAAUUUGAUCAACAACGCUAGUGGUGUCGUGCCCAACUUCCCGUCAUUCCAGCAAUUUAUAGUUCCCAAUCUCGGAGGGAUGGUGAUGACGGCAGACGGCACGGCGAUCAUACAAGACAAUUCUACAGGAAUGCCGAUGCAACUACAGCUGCAAACUGUUAAUGGACAAAAUGUUUUAACUCCAGUGCAGAACCCGGGAGUUUUUGCCGCAGGUGCUAACGGUGGGGUCGUCAUUAGAGCUCAGAACCAACAAGGCAAGAUCAUCCAGUCUCAGCACAGUCCGGGCGCGCAAUUUUUGUCUCCGAAUAGUCAAGUUAUGAUGAACAGUCCCAAUUUCAACGGCCAACUGAGUCCUCUGCUUGCAAAUUUGAGCCCCACAAACGUGACAUUCAACACCAGCCCACAUCAAGUCAGAUCCAGCAACGUACAGACACAAGAGUUCAUACAGACCAAUCAGAUGGGGCAGACGCUUAUGGUUCCGCUAUCCCCCAAACAAGUUUCGUUGGCUUCCGCAACGAACAGUCGAAACAAUUCGACGUUCGUCCAGCAAAACACGACAAUCGUGCAACAACAAACGACCCUCGUGUCUAAUUCGCACAAUACUCAAAUGUCGUCUAUUUCGACCAACAUCCAGGGCGGCAACCCGACGCGCCUCAGCAUCGACCCGAAUGUUCUCCUGUCGAAGCAGAUGUCGAACGUUCAGAAGACGCGAUUCAUCGAGAUGCCGGUCGAGACCAAUCAGAUCGAGGAUAAGGUGGUGGAGAAAAAUCAGGUGGCACUUAACCAGAUUCAGCUGAGCGAAAACGACGUGAAACUAGACAACCCGGAGGGUUACGUGAAGUUUAUGAACGAGUUCGGGGGGAUGCUGGGGCAGCCGCUGGGCGCGCACGUGCGGCACUCGGUGUCGACGCAGACGCUGGCGCAGCAGCGCGGCGCGCGCUCGCCGAGCCGCGCGGCGGCGGCCGGCAGCCCGCCCGACACCACCACGCACAGCCCGCUGGGCGCGCUCGAGCGCGCCCGCAGCCCGCGCCUGCCCGCCGCCUCCGCGCUCGGCAACUACGCCGACACCACCACCAGCUCGCCAGAGCCCGCCGACGCUAAUUCCUCGGCUAUGGUGCAGUGCGUGUCGAGCAGUGAGCAGGACAUGGCGGAGGCGCGCGAACACGCGUGGGCAGCGCCGCGCGCCGAGUUCCCCACCGACACCGACACGCAAAAUAUUAUGUCCAACAUACCGUUGAUGCGUCAGAACAGAACCCCGAACCCAGUUGAGACUACAGAGAUGCAUUACAACCAGGGCAUGGUACAACCAGCAGGGAACAACCCGCACAUGAUGCCUGUUUCUUCCAACUAUUACGACCGCUCACAAGCUUACAAGAGAAAGAAUGACUUCGGAGACGGAUCCACCUAUAGAACUGACAAAAUUAUGAGAACUAACAACGGCAUGGUCCACGGAAUUCCCAAAGAAUCAGACUUCGACAUGGCAAUGAACCAAGACAAAGGUCAGCCGAGGCACUUCUCUUCCUCAGGGUCUAGCUCUGACGCCUCUAUGAAAGUAUUCGAUAGACACAACUUGGGUUCCGGCGACGCUUCUACAUAAUGCGAUACUAUUGGUCAUUGGUUUUCUUUUGGUUGGGUUAAUACAAGAUACAGCUGUUUAUAAGGGUGUACUGGAAACUAAUCAGAAUCUAAGUGAUGCGCAGCGUUGAACCGUUCUCACCCGGCUUUCUGUCGCUUUCCAUUGCACCACACUCGAAGUAACAAAAUUGGCUCACGAAUUGGGAUUCCAUUACUAACGCAUCAUUGUAAAGCCAUCAUCAUUCCAUCUGUUCAUCAUUAUACGAAGAGCGAGGAGGAAUCCGAAGACAAGUCGCAGGCGAGUGGUAGCGAGAGACCGCGCGAGUUGGAAGUGGGGGACCUAGUGUGGGGGCCCGUGAAGGGGUACGCGUCGUGGCCCGGCAAGCUGCAGGCGCGGGCC